rnacentral:rRNA from 1 species
AGAAUCAACGCUGGCGGCGUGCCUAACACAUGCAAGUCGAACGAGAAAGUGGAGCAAUCCAUUAGUAAAGUGGCGCACGGGUGAGUAACACGUGACUAACCUACCUUUUAGUGGGGGGAUAACCUAGGGAAACCUGGGCUAAUACCGCAUAAUACCUACGGGUCAAAGCAGCAAUGCGCUGAAAGAGGGGGUCGCGGUCGAUUAGUUAGUUGGCAGGGUAAUGGCCUACCAAGACUGUGAUCGAUAUCCGGCCUGAGAGGGCGCACGGACACACUGGAACUGAAACACGGUCCAGACUCCUACGGGAGGCAGCAGUGGGAAUUUUGCGCAAUGGGGGAAACCCUGACGCAGCAACGCCGCGUGGAGGAUGAAGUCCCUUGGGACGUAAACUCCUUUCGAUCGGGACGAUAAUGACGGUACCGGAAGAAGAAGUCCCGGCUAACUUCGUGCCAGCAGCCGC